rnacentral:snoRNA from 1 species
CUGGAGAUGAUGACAGCUCUGAGCUGAUCCCCGUGAUGGUCACUCGUGUUCGUACUGUCUGAUCCCA